AAAUUGAAGAGUUUGAUCAUGGCUCAGAUUGAACGCUGGCGGCAGGCCUAACACAUGCAAGUCGAACGGUAGCACAGAGAGCUUGCUCUCGGGUGACGAGUGGCGGACGGGUGAGUAAUGUCUGGGAAACUGCCUGAUGGAGGGGGAUAACUACUGGAAACGGUGGCUAAUACCGCAUAACGUCGCAAGACCAAAGAGGGGGACCUUCGGGCCUCUUGCCAUCAGAUGUGCCCAGAUGGGAUUAGCUAGUUGGUGAGGUAACGGCUCACCAAGGCGACGAUCCCUAGCUGGUCUGAGAGGAUGACCAGCCACACUGGAACUGAGACACGGUCCAGACUCCUACGGGAGGCAGCAGUGGGGAAUAUUGCACAAUGGGCGCAAGCCUGAUGCAGCCAUGCCGCGUGUAUGAAGAAGGCCUUCGGGUUGUAAAGUACUUUCAGCGGGGAGGAAGGUGUUGUGGUUAAUAACCGCAGCAAUUGACGUUACCCGCAGAAGAAGCACC
rnacentral:rRNA from 2 species